ACGGGAGGCAGCAGUGAGGAAUAUUGCGCAAUGGGGGCAACCCUGACGCAGCGACGCCGCGUGAGUGAAGAAGGCCUUCGGGUUGUAAAGCUCUGUCGGAAGGGAAGAAAUGCUUGGGUGCUAAUAUCAUCCAGGUUUGACGGUACCUUCAAAGGAAGCACCGGCUAACUCCGUGCCAGCAGCCGCGGUAAUACGGAGGGUGCGAGCGUUAAUCGGAAUUACUGGGCGUAAAGGGCGCGUAGGCGGCUUUGCAAGUCGGAUGUGAAAGCCCACGGCUUAACCGUGUGAAGUGCAUUCGAAACUGCCAGGCUUGAGUAUCGGCGGGGAAGAUGGAAUUCCCGGUGUAGAGGUGAAAUUCGUAGAUAUCGGGAGGAAUACCGGUGGCGAAGGCGAUCUUCUGGACGAAUACUGACGCUGAGGCGCGAAAGCGUGGGGAGCAAACAGGAUUAGAUACCCUGGUAGUCCACAGCU
rnacentral:rRNA from 1 species